CUGUUCAUAUAGUUGUGAGGUGAUAUCAGAAUAUGGUUUUGAUUUGCAUUUGUUGAUGACCAGUGGUGUUGAGUAUCUUUCACGUAUUUUUUGACCAUUUGGAUGUCUUUUUUGGAAGUAUCUUUUCGCUUCCUAUGCCCAGUUUUUAAUUAGAUUGUUCCUUUGCUAUUGAGUUGUAUUUCUUUAUAUCUUUUGGAUAUUAACUCCUAACAGAUACAUGAUUUGCAAAUAGUUUCUGUCAUUCCAUAGAUUGCCUUUUCACUUUGUUGAUGGUUUCCUUUUCUUUGCAGAAGCUUUUUAGUUUUUGCCUUUGUUGUCUUAGCUUUUCCUCUCAUAUCCAAAAAAAUCAUAGCCAAGGCUAAUGUCAAGGCCUGUGUAUUCUUGUAGGAGUUUUAUGGUUUCAGAUCUUAUGUUUAAGUCUUUAAUCCAUUUUGAGUUGAUUUUUUGUUUGUGGUGUAAGAUAGGGGUCCAUUUUCUUUUAAAAAAAAAAAAAGAUUAUUUUGAGUUCUCUAUAAAAUAAAUAGCCUUUCAACUUUCAUAUGCAUUGUGAAUGUUUUUCCAAUGUAAGCAUUUUUUUUUUAUUUUUUAUUUUAUUUAUUUACUUGAGAGAGAGAAUGAGAGAGCGAGAACACAUGAGAGGGGAUAGGGUCAGAGGACGAAGCAGACUCCCCGCCGAGCAGGGAGCCCGAUGCGGGACUCGAUCCCGGGACUCCAGGAUCAUGACCUGAGCUGAAGGCAGUCGCUUAACCAACUGAGCCACCCAGCACCCACCAAUUUAUCUACCAGUGGAAUGAACUGCCUCACCUUCCCAUCACAGAACUCUCUUUGGAUCAACUUACUCAGUGCUGGCAGUUUUCAUGUUUGUUUUGGUCAGUCUGGGCUGCUAUAACAAAUUACCAUAGACUGGAUGGCUUAAAUGGUAAACAUUUCUCACAGUACUGGAGGUUGGAAGUCCAAGUUCAGGGUGGUGGCAUGGUCGUUUUCUAGUGAGGGCCUGGUUUCUGGUUUACAGAGGGCUGCCCUGUUGCUGUGCCUUCCAUAGUGGAAAGGGAGCUACUCAGCUCUCUGUCCUCUUCUUGUAAGGGGCACGAAUCCCAUUCUUGAGAGCUCUACCCUCGUGACCUAGUUACCUCCCAAAGGCUCAUCUGCAAUUACAAUUACAUUGGGAUUAGAGUUUCGGCAUGCACAAGCACAUUGCACGGUGCUCCUAAUGUUGGCCGCCUAGCCUGCUCGUACACUUCCAGUGGUGGGGAGCGCACUCUUUUGCUGUAGAAAUUAUUUCACUGUUUGGAUUCCUUCAGGUGUUUUGAGGAAUUAUGUAUGUUGAGCCAAAAUCUGACUCUGUAAUUGUGUUCUGUAGAGGAGCGGAAAAUGUCUAUUCUGCCUGCACUUGAUAGUUUCUCAUAGACUCCUCUUUCCCCUCCUGAUAUUUGUUCUAAACAAUAUAAUAUUUUAUGUAGCAUCAUUGGGGAAAAUCAAUUCCACUUGUUUUCCACAGCCAAAGGUAUAUAGAUAAAUAAAUCUAUAAUACAUAAAUAAAAGAGGAGCUUAAUUGACUAUUUGUUUUUGUUAAUGAGUAGCUUCCAUCAGAUCUAUUCUCUGUGAAAAUAGAUUGAGGUAAUAGGCUCUUCAUUCCUUAUUAUUUUCAUCAGUAAGAUACAUUUCUCUGUUUAAUGUGAUGAGCAUUAAAUCUUUACCUGAACUCUUCAUAGUAUUUUAGAUCUGGAAGGUACCCUACCAGUUUAAUUUCUUGUAGACCCUUCUGUGGCAGAUGUUUAUCUUUUUUGUGUUCGGUUUUCUUUUUUGUUGUGGUAAUCCAAGGCCAAUGGAAAGCUGGGCUCAACCUCCCUGUGCUAAAGCCCAAGGCAGGCAGGCCUACCGUGGCCUACUUCUGGCCAUCAGAUUGGGCUUGUGAGUCUAAGGAGCUCUGAGUGCUUCAGUUUGCCUGUGUAGACUACUGGAGGCAGCUGCGCUGGUUGACGGGUAACAGUAUCUAUGGUCCAGAGUCUAGGUGGAUGGAGGUGACUGUCUCCUGGGGUGUCUCCUGGGGUGGAGUAGUGGCUGGAGCAGUGGCUCCCGCAGCGUUCCGGCAGGCGAGGCUGUUCUGUUGUGCUUUGCCCUGCUUGGCCCCAGUCUGAGUCUGCAUCUGCAGCCCCUCUGCAGACAGUGAGCUCCCCGAAACCUGGCCAGGCACAAGCACCUUUUCUGCCUAAGCUAACCUGAGUCAGUUUCUUGUUUUUCACCAGGAACCUAGGCAGGUACAUCCUUAUUUGAGUGUUUUCAAGUUGUGGUAUAGGAUUUUGGUGUGUAAUCAUCUCUGCCUAAGCACAUCUGAGGUUUGCAUGUACUAGUUAAGGAAUGUACUCCCUAGGGUGUAUAAUUGCUAUUUAUGUGGCAGUUAGGAGCUAUAUCUUUUCAUCCUUAACUGAUUAAUUUUCAGAGUACUCUUGUAAGCAAGAUUUCUUUGUUUGUUUUUUAAUUAAGUUCUAUGCCCAACAUGGGGCUGAACUCACAACCGUGAGGUCCAGAGUUGUAUGCUCCACUGACUGAGCCAGCCAGGCGCCCCAGAGAGAUUUAUUUUUUGACCCUUUCAAAGCAAGUACUGAUAGAGUAGCAGUUAGACAUGACCUGGAGGCAAAAGUGAUAAAUAGGUGCCACUUAGAAGCACACAUAGAAGCCUGAGGGCACAAUAUCCUGAUUUUGUGGCUUUUAACAUCUUGGCCUUGCUGCUUCCAGCACCCUGGGGCUGACAGACGAAGAGCCGCAGGUGCAGAACCUGUGCUCUCCUCUUCAACUGCUGCCCCAGGGUAACCUGUGGCUUCAUUAUAAUAUAUUUAUAUUGUGGUUUUGACCUCCCCCACCAACCCCCCCGGGGGAAGAUGGCUCUGACAGUUCCGUUUGUACUGGCAAGUACCUUGUAGGGCCAGAAACUCCCCCUCCCAACCCUUAGGAGGAGUCCCUUAGAUGAUUGGAAACAACCUCAGUUGGAGACUGCCUAGCUAUAACCUCUGUGAGACACCCCUGACCGGUGCGUGGCCAGCUCUAGGCCUGCCUGCUUUCCCACCUUGAGGGUGUACUGUCCUUAAUGUACUGCUUUGUGCUUGCUACUUGCUUUCUGGCUGUCUUUAUUAAAGCGUGGAUCCUCACAUACAUCCUUCAUGCGGAAUCCAAGAACUGAGACCUCCAUUCACACAACGCAGACUCUCCCACUGGUAAUAGUACAUUUAUUUAUUUUACUUUAUUUUUUUAAGGGGGCUCCACACGCAUUGUGGGACUUGGACUCACGACCCUGAGAUCAAGAGUCUCAUGCUAUACCUACUGAGCCAGCCAGAUGCCCCGGUAAUAGUAUUUUUUAAAAGAAGGUGGACAGGGGAG